AUACGGAAGGUCCGGGCGUUAUCCGGAUUUAUUGGGUUUAAAGGGAGCGCAGGCGGAGAUGCAAGCGUGACGUCAAAUUUCGGGGCUCAACCCCGUCUCGCGUCGCGAACUGCGUCCCUUGGUUGCGGGAAGGGGAGGCGGAACUCGUGGUGUAGCGGUGAAAUGCAUAGAUAUCACGAAGAACUCCGAUCGCGAAGGCAGCCUUCCGGCCCGUCAACGACGCUCAUGCUCGAAGGUGCGGGUAUCAAACAGGAUUAGAUCCCCUGGUAGUCCGCACAGUAAACGAUGGACACCCGCGGUUUGGCCUGUAUGGCUGAGCCGCCAAGCGAAAGCGUUAAGUGUCCCACCUGGGGAGUACGCCGGCAACGGUGAAACUCAAAGGAAUUGACGGGG
rnacentral:rRNA from 1 species